CUGCACAGUGGUAGCCUCACCAGCACCUAAACUGAACUCCUGUUUUUGUUCUCCAGGAACUCAAGAUAUAUCUAACGGGCAACAAC
rnacentral:lncRNA from 1 species